GUACCAGCUUCACCAGCAUAUAUACUAAACAUGGAACAACGCAGAAAAGUUCAGCAAUUUCCUUUGUAAGAAUGGCACCUAAAUUUGUGAAGUAUUAAAUGAUGUU
rnacentral:snRNA from 1 species